UCGGGUAUGGUGUAGCGGUAACAUCGUUGACUCUCAUUGCUCCUCUAACGGGGUUCAUGGACACUCAACAGCCCGGGGUUCGACUCCCCGUAUCCGAG